UUCGUAUUGUUGUGAGAGAGGUGAAAUUCUUAGACCACAGCAAGACGAACUACUGCGAAAGCAUUUGCCAAGAAUGUUUUCAUUGAUCAAGAACGAAAGUUAGAGGUUCGAAGGCGAUCAGAUACCGCCCUAGUUCUAACCAUAAACUAUGCCAACUAGCAAUUUGCUUAUGUUCUUUAAAUGACUAAGUGAGAGGCCACGGGAAACCAAAGUAGGGUUAUGGGGGAAGUAUGGUUGCAAAGCUGAAACUUAAAGGAAUUGACGGAAGGGCACCACCAGGAGUGGAGCCUGCGGCUUAAUUUGACUCAACACGGGAAAACUUACCUGGUCCUGACACUAGAAGGAUUGACAGAUUGAUAGCUCUUUCUUGAUUUGGUGGAUGGUGGUGCAUGGCCGUUCUUAGUUGGUGGAGUGAUUUGUCUGGUUAAUUCCGAUAACGAACGAGACUCUAGCCUAUUAAAUAACACACAGAAUCAUGUCUUCUGUGGCGUUUCUUAAUGGGAUCAAGUGUGUUUAACGCUU
rnacentral:rRNA from 2 species